GGGGAUUUAGCUCAGCAGCAUAAGCACCUGCCUUGCAAGCAGGCGGUCGGUCGUGAGUUCAAUCCCCA
rfam:Cavia porcellus supercont2_67 genomic scaffold, whole genome shotgun sequence.